GCUCCUGCUCGGGGAAGACCGAGAUUGUCGCUUCUCCACCCUGCCCGCAGGAGCUCGGAUCCCCUCCCACACCUCCCUCCCCCUCAUCCCUCCGCCUUAACGCUUUCACGGCCGGGGCGGAGAGACCGGCAUGGGGAAGGGGACCCAGGCGUCCGGGUCAGCUGGGGAAGAGACCGGCAUGGGGAAGGGGACCCAGGCGUCCGGAAGGGAGCCCCCAGAACUCCCUCAGAUGUCAUGGGGGAGAAAGGAAGACCGGGAAGAGGACCCAAGAGUCCGGGUUUUCUGGGGAAGAAACCAAGAGAAGGAAGGGGUCCCAGGAGUCCGGGAGGGGCCCCAUAGCUCUCGGCUCCCAGCAGGAAUUGGACGCAGGUGUCCAGGAGGGAGCCUCCGCAACCCCCUCAGAUCUCAGGAGGAGGGGAAGCGAAGAUGGGGAAUUGGACCCAGGAGUCCGGGGUGGCAAUGCUCACCCCACCUUCGCUUGGGACGGCGAGCUGUGACCCAGGCUCCGUGGGGUUAACUGCUUGGGGGAGGGGCGGAAAUUAUCCGCCCCUCCCCCCAACUGGCUGUUCCCUGCAGGACCAAGAGUCAGGGGAGAUCAUCGGGGGACAGGAAACCCGGCCUCACACCAGAUCCUACAUGGCCAUCGUGAGCAUAGAGGCUCUUUGGAUUCCUGGUCCUACCUGUCGGCCUCAAUGGGGCACCUGACACCUUCCAGCGCCUGGUGGAUCAAUUACUAAGGGGGAUGGAGGACUUUGCCCUAGCGUAUAUUGAUGAUAUCUGUGUCUUCAGUCCGACCUGCAAAGACCAUGUGACCAGGUGAGGAGGGGGCUGGGACACCUCCAGGAUGCAGGACGGAUGAUAGAGGCCGGAAACAGUAAGGUGGUGAUGGCAGAGGUGCCGUACGUGGGCCGCAAGGUGAGAAGUGGCUGUCUAAAGCCAGAGCUGGCCAAGGUGGAGGUGAGCAGAGA